rnacentral:rRNA from 1 species
CCUACGGGAGGCAGCAGUAGGGAAUUUUCGUCAAUGGGCGCAAGCCUGAACGAGCAAUGCCGCGUGAACGAGGAAGGUCUUCGGAUCGUAAAGUUCUGUUGAAGGGGAAAAAGAGCGGAGAGAGGAAAUGCUUUCUGAUUGAUAUUACCCUUCGAGGAAGUCACGGCUAACUACGUGCCAGCAGCCGCGGUAAUACGUAGGUGGCGAGCGUUAUCCGGAAUGAUGGGGCGUAAAGGGUGCGUAGGCGGCCUGCUAAGUCUGGAGUGAAAGGUACCGGCUCAACCGGUACAGGCUCUGGAAACUGGCGGGCUAGAGAGCAGGAGAGGGCGGUGGAACUCCAUGGGUAGCGGUAAAAUGCGUAGAUAUAUGGAAGAACACCAGUGGCGAAGGCGGCCGCCUGGCCUGUUACUGACGCUGAGGCACGAAAGCGUGGGGAGCAAAUAGGAUUAGAUACCCUUGUAGUC